rnacentral:rRNA from 1 species
GACGAACGCUGGCGGCGUGCUUAACACAUGCAAGUCGAACGGAAAGGCCCUGCUUUUGUGGGGUGCUCGAGUGGCGAACGGGUGAGUAACACGUGAGUAACCUGCCCUUGACUUUGGGAUAACUUCAGGAAACUGGGGCUAAUACCGGAUAGGAGCUCCUGCUGCAUGGUGGGGGUUGGAAAGUUUCGGCGGUUGGGGAUGGACUCGCGGCUUAUCAGCUUGUUGAUGGGGUAGUGGCUUACCAAGGCUUUGACGGGUAGCCGGCCUGAGAGGGUGACCGGCCACAUUGGGACUGAGAUACGGCCCAGACUCCUACGGGAGGCAGCAGUGGGGAAUAUUGCACAAUGGGCGGAAGCCUGAUGCAGCAACGCCGCGUGCGGGAUGACGGCCUUCGGGUUGUAAACCGCUUUCGCCUGUGACGAAACGUGAGUGACGGUAAUGGGUAAAGAAGCACCGGCUAACUACGUG